GCGCCCAUAGCUCAAUGGAUAGAGUCCCGGUCUUCGGAACCGGUUGUCCAGGUUCGAAUCCUGGUGGGCGCA
rnacentral:tRNA from 1 species